GACAGAGGAGCCAAGCGUUGUCCGGAUUGACUGGGCGUAAAGCGCACGCAGGCGGCUUGGCGCGUGGGGUGUGAAAGGUGGCGGCUUAACCGCCAGAUGCCAUCCCAUACGGCCAAGCUCGAGCCAUGCAGAGGUCCACGGAAUUGCCGGUGUAGUGGUGAAAUGCGUAGAGAUCGGCAGGAACACCCAGGGGGAAACCAGUGGACUGGGCAUCGGCUGACGCUCAGGUGCGAAAGCGUGGGGAGCGAACCGG
rnacentral:rRNA from 1 species